rnacentral:lncRNA from 1 species
AAAUAAGACACACAGGCAGUUCAUGUGCACACUGCCUGUUGCUCAGACUAAGAGCUGAGCUGGGACAGAACGGACACACUCAUGCAGAGGGACAAGUGCCACAUGCUUCCUCAGAGCCUGCUCUGUGUGCUGGUGGCCUUGGCUUUGUCUGGAUGUAUUGUGGCCCAGGAAGUGACUCAGGUCCAGUCAACAGCAAGCAGGCAGGAGGGGGAAGAAGUCACCCUGGACUGUUCAUAUGAGACAAGUUAUGUCGUAUAUUAUCUUUCUUGGUACAAGCAGCUUCUUAGUGGAGAUAUAAUUUUCCUUACUCGCCAAAUUUCUUCUUCUACUGCAGAAGAGAGGAGUGGCCGCUAUUCUGUAGUUUUCCAGAAAUCACUCAUGUCCAUCAGCCUUGUCAUUUCAGCCUCUCAGCCAGAGGAUUCAGGGAAGUAUUUCUGUGCUCUCAGUGAUUUGACACAGUGUUAGAAGUGACAGCACAAGCUGAACAAAAACUGGGGCUCCCUAAACAGAAGCCCUCUGAGGGAGGGAGCCCAGCUGAGAUGCACACCUGCACAUCCUGAACAAGAAGAUCUCAACUGUGGAUGCUCCGUCUGUGUCUGCAUCAGAACUGUGUUUCUAAGUAAAACCUCAGGGCAUGCAAUUGAGAAAGAAUUAUGGUGAGCAGCUUUCUAUACUACAUUAUCUUAAAUCAGAGUUAAAAAUAGAUCACUGAGAAUAUGUGUAAUAUUUUCUACACUUGGAAAUCUUGCACCACAAUAAUUUGAAGUUUCUCUUUAAUUUGUUAACAGAACAUACCUCAGAGGAGGCAUCUGGAAUAGCAAAGAGCAUAAUUUCCUGGAGAAAGUUACACUCAGAAGGAGAUCCAGCAUGAGUGAAGUAGUCAGAGACAGACUAUAAGGAUUUCUCUCCAUGAAAUACUGGUGGUGACUGAGUUACUCCACCAAUCUUUACCUUUGUAUCUAGUACUGAGCCUGAGGUACUGAAGGUCAGCAGUUGGGGAGGACAGGUAAAUGAGUAUAGCACCUGGCUGUCCUGAGACUUGUGAGAAUUCAGUGAGACUCAGAAAGCCAAUGGAAUCUAGAAGGAUAAACCUCCCUCACCUCCUCAGUCCCUCUGGUUUGGGGGAGCAUCAGAAGAAGUCACGCCAUUUGCCAACGUGAUACACACAGACUCAACCUGAAUAAAGAAAAGCUGCAGAAGUGAGGAGUAGAGUGUCAAUGGUAAAGUCAGCUGGAAUCUAAUGGACAUCAAAUAUUUAUGGGGCCUGAAUCUGCAGGGCUAUAUAAAAAUAAUUAAAUAUAUCACUCCUGUUUCUUAAUUCUUCUACAGUUGCCUUUUCCAUGUCCACCCCCAAAACACAGCAACAUGUUUCCAGAUAUGUUUUUAAAGAUUAUUUUUUAUAUCAUGUGUGUAACCUUUUUGUCAGCAUGUAUAUAUGUGUACUGGGUGAAGUCUGGUGCUCAUUGAGGCCAGAAGGGGAUAUUAGAUUCUGGAAAUUGGAGUUAUCGAAGGAAAGGAUUUACCAUGUGAAUGUCAGGCACUGAAUCUAAGUCCUCUGCUAAAGCAGUGACUGCUUUUAACUAGUGAGUGUAUGUUCCAGGUCCUGUUUCUACGUAAUUUGUAUAAACUGUACAUGAUAAAGGAGGUAAAUAACUUCAAUUCACCAAUUAAAAACCAUAGGCUACCUGGGGGCAUUAACAAAGAAUACUAUCUGUGUCUCCAGGAAACACUUCCUACAGCUAAGUACAUCAAACACUGAAAGUCAAACCAUAGAGAUCAGCAUCGGACGUAAUUGAGAGCUGUAGUCAUGGCACUGCACGUCUCAUAUUUGACAAAGAAGACUUCAGACCACAGCUAGUCAGAGAGCUGAGGAGAGUCACUGCAUAGCCACAGAGGGUAAGUCUUGUGCAUGUGAGUACAUGGAGCAUGGCUCCCCGUUCAACAAAAUAAACUCUAAUUGACAGAAAAUGUCACAUGGGUCUCUAAUCAGUAAUGAUCUUAGACUUCAAUGUUUCCCUGUGACUUUAGCAAGUCUUCCUAAAUUAAAAAACUACAAGGAAACUGCUAAGUACAUCAAACACUGAAAGUCAAACCAUAGAGAUCAGCAUCGGACGUAAUUGAGAGCUGUAGUCAUGGCACUGCACGUCUCAUAUUUGACAAAGAAGACUUCAGACCACAGCUAGUCAGAGAGCUGAGGAGAGUCACUGCAUAGCCACAGAGGGUAAGUCUUGUGCAUGUGAGUACAUGGAGCAUGGCUCCCCGUUCAACAAAAUAAACUCUAAUUGACAGAAAAUGUCACAUGGGUCUCUAAUCAGUAAUGAUCUUAGACUUCAAUGUUUCCCUGUGACUUUAGCAAGUCUUCCUAAAUUAAAAAACUACAAGGAAACUGCAAAGCAAAAGAUUCUGCAAGCCCACCUCUCUGAGUUUGGCAGGAGAAUCCCAGGCAGGGAAGGGAAGCCAAUGUGCACUCAGAGAACUCACUGAAUGCAAGCAACAGAAUCUUAGCAGAUGUAAAAUUUAUGAUCUUUACUGUAAGAAGCAAAAGCCUGAUAAGUCAACAAGGGACACAAAUUUUAAAGAAUGUUUUAAUGAAUAAAUAAGUGUAAUAUCCUAUGAAUUUGUUUGUAGUUGCCCUUUUUAAAGAUUCCUCAGGAGUAGAAUAGCUGGGUCCUGUUGUUGUAAAAAUAUAAAAAUAAAAAUGUAUUGUUGUCUUUUAACCCCGCUAGGUCUGCACCGCGGUGCCCCAAGAUAUCUGCUAGAUAUCUUGGUGGAAACACAGCCCAACUGCACACUUUCCUACUCUCAAACCCUCACAUAAAAGAACACACAAUACAAUAAUCUUUGACCCAAUUGGUAUGAUAUAAUUGCCCACUUAAACAUACAAAGCCCAGUACUAUCCAUCCCUUGAGAACAUUAAUAACAACCUGUAAAUACACAGAGCAGAAUCUUAACAUCACCUGCCAUCUUGUCCUGCCCUGGCUUCUCCCCUCUCUCCAUUUCUCUUCUCUCUCCCCUAGUCUCCUCCUAUCCCUUCAAACUUCUCUCCAACCCAUCCUUCCUUCUCCUCCAAUGACAGGCCUCCUUCUAUCCUGGACCUGCCCCUCACCAGUACUUUACAAAUUCAAUGGAGAGGUGGCUCUGGUGAAGUCACCUGAGUUCUGAGUCCUUGACUAGGCAGCUGUCCUUGGGGCAGUGGAAUUAGCAUCAAAAUACAGUAACUUCAGGGCAAACCACAACAUUUCACCCUUUUUGUCUAAUUAAAAAAAAACUUUUCUCUUAAAUAUAAGCUGAGCAUAACUACUAUCAUUUUGUAAUUAAGAGCACAAAAUAUAUCUAACACCCAGUCCAACACUAUAUCAGUUAAACAGAACAUUUAGUUAUCCAUUCCAACUUAAGAAAGGCUUAAAAUCUGUUUUAUAUCUUGGCUAGCUUGUAUACUACCUGAUAACUAUCCAAUAAAAUAUGUAUAUUUAGAGUUAAACAGCCUGAUAGGCUAUCAGACUAUAAUGUCUUCAACCCUGUCAGAAAUCUGGGAAUGACCA